rnacentral:rRNA from 1 species
GCUCUCCCNUNUGGUCGACCUGCAGGCGGCCGCGAAUUCACUAGUGAUUAGAGUUUGAUCCUGGCUCAGAUUGAACGCUGGCGGCGUGCCUAACACAUGCAAGUCGAACGUGAAAGUUCCUUCGGGAGCGAGUAAAGUGGCGCACGGGUGAGUAACACGUGGAUAAUCUACCGGGAAGUUGGGGAUAACGACUGGAAACGGUCGCUAAUACCGAAUACGCUGUUCUAUUUGUUUAGGACAGGAAAGGAGGCCUCUGCAUAUGCUUCCGCUUUUCGAUGAGUCCGCGUCCCAUUAGCUAGUUGGCGGGGUAAAGGCCCACCAAGGCGACGAUGGGUAGCUGGUCUGAGAGGAUGAUCAGCCACACUGGGACUGGAACACGGCCCAGACUCCUACGGGAGGCAGCAGUGGGGAAUAUUGCGCAAUGGGCGAAAGCCUGACGCAGCGACGCCGCGUGAGGGAUGAAGGUCCUCGGAUCGUAAACCUCUGUCAGAAGGGAAGAAGUUGCACUGUGCUAAUCAGCGGUGCAUUGACGGUACCUUCAAAGGAAGCACCGGCUAACUCCGUGCCAGCAGCCGCGGUAAUACGGAGGGUGCGAGCGUUAAUCGGAAUUACUGGGCGUAAAGCGCACGUAGGCUGUAUAUCNAAGUCAAGGGUGAAAUCCCCGGGCUCAACCUGGGAACUGCCUUUGAAACUGGUAAACUGGAGUAUGUGAGAGGGUGGCGGAAUUCCUGGUGUAGGAGUGAAAUCCGUAGAUAUCANGAGGAACAUCAGUGGCGAAGGCGGCCACCUGGCACAAAACUGACGCUGANGUGCGAAAGCGUGGGUAGCAAACANGAUUANAUACCCUGGUAGUCCACGCUGUAAACGAUGGAUACUGGGUGUUGGGAUGUAUGUCUCGGCGCCGUAGCUAACGCGUUAAGUNUCCCGCCUGGGGAGNNCNGNCGCANNGCUGAAACUCAANAAAUUGACGGGGGCNCGCACA